rnacentral:rRNA from 1 species
UGACGUGGAGAAGGGCAUUUGGUGGAUGCCUUGGCACCAGGAGGCGACGAAGGACGUGGCACACUGCGAAAAGCCAUGGGGAGCCGUGAGCAGGCAUUGAUCCGUGGAUAUCCGAAUGGGGCAACCCCCUCGCAAGAGGAUCCUGCCGUGAAUACAUAGCGGCAGGAGGCGAACCCGGGGAACUGAAACAUCUCAGUACCUGGAGGAAAAGACAUCAACCGAGAUUCUGCGAGUAGUGGCGAGCGAAAGCGGAGNAGGCCAGUGCCUUUGGGAAGAAGUAGAAGAACGGAGUGGAAAUUCCGGCCAUAGAGGGUGAUAGCCCCGUAUUUGAAUAUUUUUCUGAAGGACUUGAGUAGGGCGGGGCACGUGAAACCCUGUCUGAACAUGGGGGGACCACCCUCCAAGCCUAAAUACUCCCUGGUGACCGAUAGUGAACAAGUACCGUGAGGGAAAGGUGAAAAGCACCCCGAUAAGGGGAGUGAAAGAGACCUGAAACCAAAUGCCUACAAGCAGUCGGAGCCUNACNAUGGGGUGACGGCGUACCUUUUGUAUAAUGGGUCAGCGAGUUUCUGUCCGUAGCGAGCUUAAGCCGAUAGGUGUAGGCGUAGCGAAAGCGAGUCUGAAUAGGGCGACUGAGUUACUGGUAGAAGACCCGAAACCGAGUGAUCUAGCCAUGGCCAGGCUGAAGGUGCGGUAACACGUACUGGAGGGCCGAACCCACGCCUGUUGAAAAAGUCGGGGAUGAGCUGUGGCUAGGGGUGAAAGGCCAAUCAAACUCGGAGAUAGCUGGUUCUCCGCGAAAUCUAUUGAGGUAGAACGUUGCGUAUUACCCACGGGGGUAGAGCACUGGAUGGGCUAGGGGGGCCCAAAGCCUUACCAAACCUAACCAAACUCCGAAUACCGCUGGAGUAGAGCGCAGCAGACAGACAGUGGGUGCUAAGGUCCAUUGUCGAGAGGGAAACAGCCCAGACCACCAGCUAAGGCCCCUAAAUCGUGGCUAAGUGGGAAAGGAUGUGGGGGUUCCAAAACAACCAGGAGGUUGGCUUAGAAGCAGCCAUCCUUUAAAGAAAGCGUAAUAGCUCACUGGUCGAGUCGGCCUGCGCGGAAGAUGUAACGGGGCUAAACCAUGCACCGAAGCUGCGGCAGCGACGCUUAUGCGUUGUUGGGUAGGGGAGCGUUCUGUAAGCCGUCGAAGGUGUGCUGUGAGGCAUGCUGGAGGUAUCAGAAGUGCGAAUGCUGACAUAAGUAACGAUAAUGCGGGUGAAAAACCCGCACGCCGGAAGACCAAGGGUUCCUGUCCAACGUUAAUCGGGGCAGGGUGAGUCGACCCCUAAGGCGAGGCCGAAAGGCGUAGUCGAUGGGAAACNGGUUAAUAUUCCNGUACUNGGUGUUACUGCGANGGGGGGACGGAGAAGGCUAUGUNANCCGGGCGACGGUNGUCCCGGUUUAAGCNUGUAGGCUGUGNNNUCCAGGNAAAUCCGGUNUNNUCUAANNCUGAGGNGUGAUGACGAGGCACUACGGUGCUGAAGUNACANAUGCCCNGCUUCCAGGAAAAGCCUCUAAGCNUCAGGUAACANCNAAUCGUACCCCAAACCGACACAGGUGGUCAGGUAGAGAAUACCAAGGCGCUUGAGAGAACNCGGGUGAAGGAACUAGGCAAAAUGGUGCCGUAACUUCGGGAGAAGGCACGCUGAUGUGUAAGUGAAGCCCCUGCGGGUGGAGCUGAAGUCAGUCGAAGAUACCAGCUGGCUGCAACUGUUUAUUAAAAACACAGCACUGUGCAAACACGAAAGUGGACGUAUACGGUGUGACGCCUGCCCGGUGCCGGAAGGUUAAGAGGAGAUGUGAGAGCAUUGAAUUGAAGCCCCGGUAAACGGCGGCCGUAACAAUAACGGUCCUAAGGUAGCGAAAUUCCUUGUCGGGUAAGUUCCGACCUGCACGAAUGGCGUAACGACUUCCCCGCUGUCUCCAGCAUCGGCUCAGCGAAAUUGAAUUCCCCGUGAAGAUGCGGGGUACCCGCGGUCAGACGGAAAGACCCUAUGAACCUUUACUGCAGCUUUGCAGUGGCAUCAGGAAAAUUCUGUGUAGGAUAGGUGGGAGGCAUUGAAGCACAGGCGCCAGUCUGUGUGGAGCCGACCUUGAAAUACCACCCUGACUUUUUCUGAUGUCUAACCGCGGCCCAUUAGCUGGGUCCGGGACCCUGCAUGGCAGGCAGUUUGACUGGGGCGGUCGCCUCCUAAAGGAUAACGGAGGCGCGCGAUGGUGGGCUCAGGUCGGUCGGAAACCGACUGUCGAGUGCAAUGGCAUAAGCCCGCCUGACUGCGAGAGUGACAGCUCGAGCAGAGACGAAAGUCGGCCAUAGUGAUCCGGUGGUUCCACGUGGACGGGCCAUCGCUCAACGGAUAAAA